UCAAAAACAGGAGUCUGGAAGAAGUGAAAAAAUGAUGGAAUGAGGGGCAGGCUACUGGAACCCACCAGAGAAUCAGAAGAAUGUCUUAAUUAAAGGUUUGAAGCAGAGAGUAAGACAAGAGCAUUGUAUUCCAGAACAACACAAAUUGGAGUGAGAAAUCAAAUGGCAUGAAGUAGAACUUGAUAAUGAACAGUGGACAGAUACAUUCCAAAUAGUGAAACAGCACUUUUCAUUUCCUAUUCUAAAUAAAGCAAU
rnacentral:lncRNA from 1 species